rnacentral:rRNA from 1 species
AUUGAACGCUGGCGGCAUGCCUUACACAUGCAAGUCGAACGGUAACAGGUCUUCGGAUGCUGACGAGUGGCGAACGGGUGAGUAAUACAUCGGAACGUGCCUAGUAGUGGGGGAUAACUACUCGAAAGAGUGGCUAAUACCGCAUGAGAUCUACGGAUGAAAGCAGGGGAUCGCAAGACCUUGUGCUACUAGAGCGGCCGAUGGCAGAUUAGGUAGUUGGUGGGAUAAAAGCUUACCAAGCCGACGAUCUGUAGCUGGUCUGAGAGGACGAUCAGCCACACUGGAACUGAGACACGGCCCAGACGCCUACGGGGGGCAGCAGUGGGGAAUUUUGGACAGUGGGCGAAAGCCUGAUCCAGCAAUGCCGCGUGCAGGAUGAAGGCCUUCGGGUUGUAGACUGCUUGUGUACGGAACGAAAAGCCCCGGGUUAAUACCCUGGGGUCAUGACGGUACCGUAAGAAUAAGCACCGGCUAACUACGUGCCAGCAGCCGCCGCCG